rnacentral:rRNA from 1 species
UACAGAGGGGGCAAGCGUUGUUCGGAAUUACUGGGCGUAAAGGGCGCGUAGGCGGCCUGCUAAGUCGAACGUGAAAUCCCCGGGCUCAACCCGGGAACUGCGUCCGAUACUGGCAGGCUUGAAUUCGGGAGAGGGAUGCGGAAUUCCAGGUGUAGCGGUGAAAUGCGUAGAUAUCUGGAGGAACACCGGUGGCGAAGGCGGCAUCCUGGACCGAAAUUGACGCUGAGGCGCGAAAGCGUGGGGAGCGAACAGG